rnacentral:tRNA from 1 species
UGUAGCUCAGUGGUAGAGUACAUGCUUAGUAUGUAUGAGGCUCUAGGUUUGAUCCCCAGCA